CCACUGCCCUGAGAAGGGAGGGUUGGUGACGUCUGCGAUGAAUUGAAUUUCCGUCUUGUGACUUUUCUGUUGCAGAACAUGGAGGAGCGGCUGAGCAAUGGAGUUGGGACUCGGGGGAGCAAUAGGUGCCUGUGUCCCAAGCUUCCUGUGUGGCCCUUGCAAGCUCCUGCUCCCCUCGCCUGCAAGUGGAGCGAUGCUCAAGUUUGAGGAAUCUUUUCCUCGGCAGGCGGUAAAAGACGCCGCAGCUGCGAGUUUUGUGUCCUUCUUUGUUAUUGGAAAGCAGCCUCCUUGAGAGCAGGAGAGCAGCAGGCUGUCUGCUGUGUGGCUGCUGAAGGGCGUUUCUCCCCAGCUGAGAUCCCUGAGCCCACGCUGGCGGAGAACGAGCUGCGCCGC